CUUUUCACUGAUCCAAAGGAGGUCACGUGGGAUCUUGCGAAAUUAACAGCAAUGAAAAUGGCGAAACGAAACUUGUGAAUCGUGCAUUUGCUCUUCAUGGUAGCUGCCAGAAAAUCGAAUCAAACUUACGGGACACUGGAUUACAGGUUGCUGCCACUACUCCAUGUGCCCGCAAUUGUCUUGCGUGUAUGAUUACACUAACGGCGUCGCCCACCACGGCGGAAGUGUUUUGCGUACACGCGUUUCAGCAUGAAGCCUGCAGGUGGACGUAAAUUGUAGAAGGCAGCUAGUGGGGGAGAAGAUCAUGGUCAUAGGUCAUGUGACUCCUGGAGCUCCCAGUGGGCUCCCUUGUAGAGUACUUUUCAGAACACACACACACACACAGUUUGCUCACAGAACCGACGAGUAGGAUGUUGCUUGAAUACUGAGAGAAAAUGGCGUAACACAUACAAAUAUCGUGUGACACAUAUGACAAUAAAAACAUUUUUCACGAGGGAUGCAUGAAACACUGUCGCAAUAUUGUGUGCAUGAACCAUUGUGUGUGACACAAGCCGUGGGGGCACACCGCCUCGGACACAUUUUGGGAAGCAUAAAACACAGUAUAUACAGAGCUACUAUGGUGGAUGCUUCUUUUUUCUUUUUGGCCGUUAUGAGACAUCUUCGGCCGUAAUGAGACUACCUUCGGCCGUAUUGAGACUUUGGCCGUAACGAGACACUUGGGGAUUAAAGGAUUUUCGGCCGUAAUGAGACUUUCGGCCGUAAUGAGACUUCGGCCGUAAUGAGACUCGGGCCGUAAUGAGAUGUUGGCCUCUAAUGUUAUUUCAACCAUACCGUAACAACUGUAGAUCGCGAACGUGUAAAAAACGUUGAGUCAACACUAAGAUUUCAACCGUAGAUAUAUCCAACAAAUACCCAACGUUGCCUUCUGCAUUCUACCUAACACAUUCUCAACGUCGGACAAAACUUGGAACGGAAAUACCAGAUUUUAACGUGUUUGUGAAUUUUGCUGGCAACGGUGAAAUUGGUUAUGAUGGUUAUGACGAGUUAUGAUGAUUAUUUACCAGUGGUUAAUGCUGUUGGUUUAUAACCCAAAUUGAUGUCAGCUGCUAUUAUAUUUAUCUUCCCUUGUCUACAACCUUGGAAAGUGAAAAAAACAAAGCGGUACCAGAUUUGACGGAGGAAAGAGAACAAAUUCAUGGCGGUGCAUUUGUGGGGAAAAAAGGCUUACGUGCCGUGUCGAGAGAAACAGAUUGACGGACGUUAUGACGGUAUCACAACAUUCAGAAACAACUUCUGCGGAAGGACACCGCUGCCGAAAAUGCAAGUAUGUCUGCGAGAAAGACGAGAGCUUCACAAAUUUGACAUCCGUGGGAGAGUUGUGAGUCCCUUAAGCUGCCAUACUCGGUGAAAAAAUAAAUAAAUAACGGACCCGGCUUAUCGGGUUAACGAUAAAAAAAAAGCCGACCCAUGCAAGGGACAUUAGAUAUGAACCUGUGAGAUGAUUAGGAAACAAGUGACAUGGUUUACUGCAUUUCACGUCGAAUCAAAGUAGUACUCAAGGAAAAUAACAGUGUGACACCCAAUGUUAAUAAAGAAAGUGUGAUUUCACACCCCUUUCCAUUGUUCAUAUCGCGCGUGAAAAAUAUUGGGAUAUUUAGCCAAUUUUCUUGGUGGAUCUGUAAUGUGUGGCAUCUCAGGAGCCUCGCUAUUAUAGCGGCAGACUGAACACAGCAAAACACUUUUUUCAUGAUUUUGCUCCUCUGAAUCCUGUAUUUGCUGAUACAGCUGGGAUUGCUAAUAUAAUCAAUUCACUUACUCUACGUGCGCUGCCUUCGAUGGUAUUACACAAAGUUAUGAAAACUGUUAACACCCACGUUCAAACUUGUGCUUUUAUUUGUGUUUCAUAAGCAAUAAAAUAAAAGUGUAUUUGUAUGUA